GACGAACCGUGCGAACGUUGUUCGGAAUCACUGGGCUUAAAGGGCGCGUAGGCGGCCUGCCAAGUCAGAUGUGAAAGCCCUCGGCUCAACCGAGGAAGUGCAUCUGAAACUGGCGAGCUAGAGUACUAAAGAGGGUCGCGGAAUUCCCGGUGUAGAGGUGAAAUUCGUAGAUAUCGGGAGGAACACCGGUGGCGAAGGCGGCGACCUGGGUAGAUACUGACGCUGAGGUGCGAAAGCGUGGGGAGCAAACAGG
rnacentral:rRNA from 1 species